UAAGAUGCUUUGAAAACUCACCUGUGGCCAGUUGGUUUCAAGAAGGCAGAUGCCAAAACAAAACUAAUUUCAAAUCUGUCUUGAUUUUUAACUAGCAAACCAAAUUUCAUUAAAUCAAUCAAUUCCUUCAAAAGCUAUACUGCAGGCCAGAUGCAAGGCUGAAAUGGGAGGAUUACUUGAGCCCAGGAGUUCAUGACCAGCCUGGGCAACAUGGUGAAACCCUGUCUCUACAAAUAAACACAAAAAUUAGCUGGGCAUGGUGGCACACGCCUGUUGUCCCAGCUACUCAAGAGGCUGAGGUGGGAGGAUCAAAUGAGCCCAGGUGGUCAAGGCUGCAGUGAGCUGUGAUUGUAUGACUCCACUCUAACCUAGGUGACAGAAAAACUCCGUCUCAAAAAAAAAAAAAAAAGUAAAAAG